rnacentral:tRNA from 7 species
GACCCACUAGCUCAGUCGGUAGAGCACCUGACUUUUAAUCAGGGUGUCCCGCGUUCGAGUCGCGGGUGGGUCACCA